GACGAACGCUGGCGGCGUGCCUAAUACAUGCAAGUUGAGCGCUGAAGGUUGGUACUUGUACCAACUGGAUGAGCAGCGAACGGGUGAGUAACGCGUGGGGAAUCUGCCUUUGAGCGGGGGACAACAUUUGGAAACGAAUGCUAAUACCGCAUAAAAACUUUAAACACAAGUUUUAAGUUUGAAAGAUGCAAUUGCAUCACUCAAAGAUGAUCCCGCGUUGUAUUAGCUAGUUGGUGAGGUAAAGGCUCACCAAGGCGAUGAUACAUAGCCGACCUGAGAGGGUGAUCGGCCACAUUGGGACUGAGACACGGCCCAAACUCCUACGGGAGGCAGCAGUAGGGAAUCUUCGGCAAUGGACGAAAGUCUGACCGAGCAACGCCGCGUGAGUGAAGAAGGUUUUCGGAUCGUAAAACUCUGUUGGUAGAGAAGAACGUUGGUGAGAGUGGAAAGCUCAUCAAGGGACGGUAACUACCCAGAAAAGGACGGCGAACUACGU
rnacentral:rRNA from 1 species